rnacentral:rRNA from 1 species
UACGUAGGGUGCGAGCGUUGUCCGGAAUUAUUGGGCGUAAAGGGCUCGUAGGCGGUUUGUCGCGUCGGGAGUGAAAUCCACUGGCUUAACUGGUGGCUUGCUUUCGAUACGGGCAGACUGGAGGUAUGCAGGGGAGAACGGAAUUCCUGGUGUAGCGGUGGAAUGCGCAGAUAUCAGGAGGAACACCAAUGGCGAAGGCAGAUCUCUGGGCCGUAACUAACGCUGAGGAGCGAAAGCAUGGGGAGCGAACAGG